CCUGGUUUAGUCCUGGUUUAGACCUGGUUUAGUCCUGGUUUAUUCCUGGUUUAGACCUGGUUUAUUCCUGGUUUAGUCCUGGUUUAGUCCUGGUUUAGUCCUGGUUUAGUCCUGGUUUAGACCUGGUUUAGUCCUGGUUUAGUCCUGGUUUAGUCCUGGUUUAGUCCUGGUUUAGACCUGGUUUAGUCCUGGUUUAGUCCUGGUUUAGACCUGGUUUAGUCCUGGUUUAGUCCUGGUUUAGUCCUGGUUUAGACCUGGUUUAGUCCUGGUUUAGUCCUGGUUUAGUCCUGGUUUAGUCCUGGUUUAGUCCUGGUUUAGUCCAGGUUUAGUCCUGGUUUAGUCCUGGUUUAGUCCUGGAUUAGUCUUGGUUUAGUCCUGGUUUAGUCCUGGUUUAGUCCUGGUUUAGUCCUGGUUUAGUCCUGGUUUAGUCCUGGUUUAGACCUGGUUUAGUCCUGGUUUAGUCCUGGUUUAGACCUGGUUUAGUCCUGGUUUAGUCCUGGUUUAGU
ensembl:lncRNA